rnacentral:rRNA from 1 species
GACGGGGGGGGGCAAGUGUUCUUCGGAAUGACUGGGCGUAAAGGGCACGUAGGCGGUGAAUCGGGUUGAAAGUGAAAGUCGCCAAAAAGUGGCGGAAUGCUCUCGAAACCAAAUUCACUUGAGUGAGACAGAGGAGAGUGGAAUUUCCGUGUGUAGGGGUGAAAUCCGUAAAUAUACGAAGGAACGCCAAAAGCGAAGGACAGCUCUCUGGGUCCCUCACCGACGCUGGGGGUGCGAAAACAUGGGGGAGCGAACAG